AAGAAGUUUGGCGGUCUAAAAAACCCCGACUCCAACCCUCUGUUUACCUUAUAACCGUUGCUUUGGCGGGUCGGGGAGCCUUCCCGCCGGCCUUCGGGCUGGAAAGCGCCCGCCAGAGGACCCUUUAAACCCGUCUUACCGGUACCUUCUGAGUACUCGAGAAUUUGAAGCA
rnacentral:misc_RNA from 1 species